rnacentral:rRNA from 1 species
CCUACGGGGGGCAGCAGUGGGGAAUAUUGCACAAUGGGCGAAACCCUGAUGCAGCAACGCCGCGUGAGCGAAGAAGGACUUCGGUUUGUAAAGCUCUAUCAUCAGGGAAGAAAAUGACGGUACCUGAGUAAGAAUCUCCGGCUAAAUACGUCCCAGCAGCCGCGGGAAUACUUAGGGAGCAAGCGUUAUCCGGUUUUACUGGGCGUAAAGGGAGCGUAGGCGGUCUGGCAAGUCUGAUGUGAAGUACCAGGGCUCAACCCCGGGGGUGCGUUGGAAACUGGCAGGCUGGAGGGCAGGAGAGGCAGGCGGAAUUCCAUGUGUAGCGGUGAAAUGCGUAGAUAUUAGGAGGAACACCAGUGGCGAAGGCGGCCUGCUGGACAGUAACUGACGCUGAGGCUCGAAAGCGUGGGGAGCAAACAGGAUUAGAUACCCGUGUAGUC